rnacentral:lncRNA from 1 species
CUCUCGCAGCCGCAGCCCGCCUUCAAAGCGGACCAAGGCCCGCGGACGGCGCAGCCAAUAGGCUUUCUGGGGUUUGCUCUCUAGCUAAUGGGAAGACUAUCUUUUUACGCCCUUGGCCAGUAAGAGAGCAGAUGGUGGCCUCAGCGACCUAUGGCAAAGUCCUUUCCCACCCCCUAACGGAGGCUCUGGGAGAGAGAGGAUGCAGGACCAAGACCCGAGAAGAAGCCUGCGUCUGGGCCUGGGUGGGACGGAUUCAGGCGCGCAGGUGCUGGAAGAUGUGGGGAAGGCCGUCUUCGCGGCUUUCUCCGCCUCCUCGAACGUCACUUCCCUCCUGGGGUCCUAAUGCCGCAAGUCCUUACUGAACAUCUGUUUUUAAAUUUUAUUAUUGGUAUUGUGGUUGUUAUAGCCGGGCACUCUUGUAGGCGCUUAAGGUGCAAGCAGGACGACUCAAACUGUCCCCAGCCUUCACACUUUUUUAGUAGCCAGUAGAUUUGUCCUAGUGAGAACUAGAACAAAUGACUUCCUCUCUGAGCCUGUUUCUAUUUGUAUGACGACAAAGUGAUCCUCCUAGCUGCUGUGGGAGCUUGCCUGUUGUUGGGAAGCUCAAAUAGGUUAAUAGAAUUAAAGCUUAUCGAGCAGAUUGUAAAAAGUUCAGGCAUUAAUUUUCUUUUUGUAUGUAAUCCCAGCCCCUUUUACUGCCCUAUUAUUUAUUUCUUGAUUCUGAGCUCUCAGAAGGCAGAAAUUUAGCCGAUUAACGAUUGUCUCUCCCUUCCGCUUCCCCAGCAACAACAGGGUGCCUGGCACAAGGAGAUACUCAGUAAAACUCUCAUCUGCUGUGUCAUUAAGGGGAACACUUAAUGGCUCACGCCUGUAAUCCCAGCACUUUGGGAGGCCGAGGCGGAAGGAUCACCUGAGCCCAGGAGUUGGAGACCAGCCUGGGCAACAGAUUGAGACCCUGUCUCAACAAAGAAGAAGAAGAAGAAAAAGGCCAGGCGCCGUGGCUAAUGUCUGUAAUCCCAGCACUUUGGGAGGCCAAGAAGGGAGAACUGCUUGAGGCCAGGAGUUCGAGACCAGCCUGGUCAACAUAGCGAGACACCCCCCCCAUCUCAAAAAUAAAUAAAUCAAAAUAAAAAAUAAAGAGGAGGCCGGGCUUGGUGGCUCACGCCUAUAAUUCCAGCACUUUGGAAGGCCGAGGUAGGUGGAUCACGAGGUCAGGAGUUCAAGACCAGCCUGGCCAAGAUGCUGAAACCCCAUCUCUACUAAAGAUACAAAAAGUUAGCCGGGCGUGGUGGCACACGCCUGUAAUCCCAGCUACUCGGGAGGUGGAGGCAGGAGAAUUGCUUGAACCUGGGAGAUGGAGG